UCUUCACAACCUUGCACGUUGUAGCAACGUGGGAGGCAUGUGCAAUGUCUACACAUGGAAUACACAUGUACAUUAUAAAGUAGAUAGUUAUACAUAUAAUAUUACUUAUAGAUAUACUCGACUACUUCGGUUUUGCUUAUUUUGUGAAGCCUCAUAAUCUCAUAUCAUCCAAUCUCCCAAUUUCGGUUAUAAUCGUGACCAAGUCCAUAACACAUGUCUAAUCUCAAAAGCAUAUAAAUAUUUUUUUUUUGUGAAAUUAUGAAUGCAAACUAAUUCAUCUAUUUUCAUUUGUGAUAACUUUGUCAUUUUUGGAGAAUUUUACAAUUUUUUUACUAUUUAUAGCUAUUUUUCUAUCACUUUAUCAAAAUAACAUUUUUCACAUAUAUGCUAUCACUAUUCCUUAGAGAUAUAUUUUAAGUAAUCUAUUUCACUUACUACUAAUAUUUCAAUUGAGAAAUAUUUUUUUCAAGUAGUCCUUCUUUUAACUAACUUUGGGUAUUAAUUUUUUUCCUUCUAAAUUCCUAUUUAUUUAGGAAAUUAGUUUAGUUAAAGAAAGCCCCUCCGCGGUAGAAAAAAAUUGGCCAAACAAAAUUGUAGAAAAUAGAUAUGUGCAUCUAUAUUAUUAAAAUAAGAGCAUAGUUUAGACCUAGCUUUUAAUUAUGUGUUAUAUUCCAUAAAAUAUCAUUAAUAAUACUAAAUACUUCUACAAACAACAUUAUAUUAUUUUCUAUAUUUUAAUAAAAUAUCAUGAAUAAUCCAAACAUUUUCCCUUUUCAAUUUGUCUUCGUAAAUAUGAAUUAUUUGUAUUGGAGGGUUUUUCCGCGUAUGGAAAAUCAUUAAUUUGCAUAAAUGUUAUUGUAUAUUUAAAGGACAAAACAACAAAGUUUUCAAUAAUAUUGUUAUGAACCCAAGAAAUACUUUAAUUUUGGUGAAAACUGAAUCAUAACUUUGGGAUGUGGCACAUGCUUCAAUCACACAAAAAAAUAACCCAUUAUAGGGAGAUGGGAGGGACAUGAUUAUCAUCAAUACCGGGACGCUGGUGUUUUAUGGAUGGAUCAUGGAAAAAUCAAGAUAUUUUCUUGAGACCAGAUUGGUACAAUACGCUAGAAGGUUUUGAUGGACUGAUGGGAUCAAGGAAUCCGAGAUCAAGCCUCACAUACCUACAUUCGGAGAUAGAAGCCCUCAUAUAGUCAAUAGAAUGCAUGAGAAAUUUAUGAAAACUUCAAAUCACAUUUACAACAGAUUGUUUUCAAUUAAUGAAGAUAGUUUAAGCACAAAAAUAAUGACAUACCUUUGCAACCUAUUUGGAAGACAUCAAAAUCAUAAGAUGAAGUUUUCACCACUCGGAACUUAUUCAUAUACUUAGAAACACAAAAAUAUAAACUGACUUCUCAAAUAAUAUUAUAGAGAUUUGUAUUGGAAGACUUUUCCGCAUAUGGAAAAUCAUCAAUUUGCAUAAAUUUUAUGGUAUAUUUAAAGGAUGAAACAACAAAGUUUUAUAUUGAUAUGAACCCUAAAAAUACUUUAAUUUUGAUGAAAACUGAAUCAUAACUUUGGGCUGUGGCAAGAAUAACCCAUUAUAUGGAGAUAGAAGGGACAUGAUUACCGUCAAUACCGGGACGCUGGUGUUUUACGGAUGGAUCAUGAAAAGAUGAAGAUAUUUUCUUGAGACAUGAUUGGUACAAUACACUAAAAGGCUUUGAUGGACUGAUAGAAUCAAGGAAUACGAGAUCAAGUCUCUCAUCCCUACAUUCGGAGAUAGAAGCCCUCAUAUAGUCAAUGGAAUGCAUGAGAAAUUUAUGAAACUUUACGUCACAUUUACAACAAAUUGUUUUUAAUUAAUGAAGAUAGUUUAAGAACAAGAAGAAUGACCUAUCUUUGCAACCUAUUUGGAAGACAUCAAGAUCAUAAAAGGAAGUUUUCAACACUCGGAGCUUAUUCAUAUACUUAGACCACAAAAAUACAAACGUGGAUAGUCUUGCGUGCAGUACCUGGAAACAAUCAUCUUUCAUCGUUCAUAUAGAUGCAGAGUUACCAAAGUGGUUUACAAAAUCUUAUUAGAGUCUAUUUAUGUUGAUGACAAAAAAUGUUUCUAAGCAACAAAAUAAUCAAUCUUAUGUCUUAUAAAACGUUAAGUCCCAUAUUUUUUAUAGCUUUUAUUAUUACACUUUUAAAUUAUUUGAUAAAUCAAAUAAUUGACUAAAACAUUCAAAUAAUUUAAAAAUAAAGAAAAGUAUAACUAUAUUCGCAAAUUUAGAUACUACAAAAAAGUUUCAUUUAAUAUGAAAUCAAUUAAAUUAGUCAAAUGAUUUUAUUUAUAUUUCAUUAAAACUAAAUUAUCUUUAUUUUAAUUUAAAUAAGAUUUCAUAUUAAAUAAAAUAUUAUCUACAAAUAAAAUGUUAGAGUCAAUAGAUUGACAUCAAAUAAAAUAAUUAAACAUUAUCAAAAUAUAACACAAUUAAUCAAAUAGAUUAGAGAUAUUUUAUUCAAAUUCAUUACAAAAGGGUUGUAAGGAUUAAACUUGACCUUGAACUUUAAACUUAGAAUGAAUAUGAACCAAAACGUAUUCCCUUUAUUAGAAUCUGAAACCAAACUUGUAUCUCAAACAAUAGAAAACUUUUGAUCUCUAGACAAAAGACUCUAACUCUUGACUUAUAUAUCUCUCUAUUGCAAAGACCCGCAAGGACUAACAAUGACUUAGGUUUCUAUUUAUACUACUAGACUUUUCAUAUCUCCAUCCAUAAUUCUUAUGAUAAAGUUUUUCUUAUUGCAUUAGGCUUCGUAUAAACUUAAAUCGACUUCUUUUGUUGUUGCAGGACUUGGAGUUGGGCCAAGACUAACUAAUUGAGGCCCAUUAGCUCAACAAACUCUACCUUGGGUCUUAAUUACUUCAACUUCUUUUCUCUCAUUUGUUAUCACCGAAGACGUCUCGAGCUCCCCGUCCCCUUCUUCCAUGGACGAUGACGGUUGCGUUGACAUCGAUUCCUCGCGACGAUGGCCUUAACCGAUCAGAUCCUUCGUCAAGGGUCUUCGAUCUUCCACUUUGCCUCACUUCUUGAGGAGAUUCGACUUAGCUCCUCCGUAACUCAGUUUCUUGAACCCAACACCGAUGUUUCUUCGGUGCCGUAUCUCACUUAGAUCCUUGUUCAUCAUAAAAGAAGAUCACGACUUCUUCUUUCGCUUGAGAAAGUGAUUCUCUCAAACCGGCGGAAAUGAGAGAAACUUCACCGGAAAUCUGACAUCCCAUUUUCCGCUUUUUCAGCGAAACCAUAUGCGCCUCCUCCGUUGUAAAAAACGACCCAUUGAGCCUCCUUGUUACCGCUUGAGUUAGUCAUUCCGGUUUCCUGUUUUGGUCUAUCCCAACUUACUCUACCUUAAGCUGAGACCUUCUAGCUUUAGAACUCCUUGCCUUGCAUCUUCCUAGCAGGUCACUUCCUUGUACCUAUUGAGCUUCCUUGUUAUCGAUGAGAAGUAAUAUGAUUGCUCUAACCUUAUUACUUCUUCUUAUGCAAGGUGAAUCGAUAACGAAGUUACCUGCCGUGCCGGUUUCUUAGGCUAUUUUGAAGACUUCACAACAGAGAUCAAUUUUUUUCCCUGGUAAAGCCUUAGUUAGAAAGUCUGAUGGGUUCUUGCUAGUAUGGAUUUUAGAUAGAGUAACACUGCCAUCUUCGACCACAUUUCUGAUGAAAUGAUAUUUAGUGUUAAUGUGCUUAGUUCGUUCGUGAUGAACAUGAUUAUUUGCUAGGGCUAUAGCUCUUUGUGAACCAGAAUUAGUCUUGACACUUUCUUCCUCGAAUCAUAGGUCUUUGCAUAAUCUUCUUAGCCAUAACGCUUCUUUCGCAGCCGCUUUUAAAGCCAUGUACUUAGCUUCGGUUGUCGAAAGAGCUACUAUGUCUUGUAAUCUUGAUUUUCAGCUUAUCCUGUUUCCCCA